rnacentral:rRNA from 1 species
CCCUUAGAUGUUCGGGGCCGCACGCGCGCUACACUGAAGGACUCAGCGUGUCUCUCCCCCUAUCCCGAAAGGGAUGGGCAACCCGUUGAACCUCCUUCGUGCUAGGGAUUGGGGUUUGCAAUUAUCCCCCAUGAACGAGGAAUUCCCAGUAAGCGCGAGUCAUCAGCUCGCGUUGAUUACGUCCCUGCCCUUUGUACACACCGCCCGUCGCUACUACCGAUUGGAUGGUUUAGUGAGACCCUCGGAUCGGUCCCGACUCGGGGUGGGCUUCUGCCCCGGUCGUGGUUUCGCCGAGAAGACGGUCAAACUUGACUAUCUAGAGGAAGUAAGAGUCGUAACA